rnacentral:ncRNA from 1 species
CAGGCAUGCUGGAGCCCCGCCAGCGGCGCCUGGUCCAGGGAUCGAUCCAAGCGGACCUGUCACCGGACGGGGCAGAA